rnacentral:miRNA from 1 species
CAGGAUGCACAGUUAAAUUUGAACUUCAGAUAAGCAAUGGGACUUUUUUGGUAUAAAUAUAUCCUGUGCAAUAUUUGGGACAUACUUAUACUAAGGAAAUAUUCAUUGUUUAUCUGAAAUCCACAUUUAACUUUUGUUUGUGU